rnacentral:rRNA from 1 species
GGGGAAGGGAUUCGUCCUGAGUAUACUGGCGCACGGGUGAGUAACGCGUGAGAAAUCUACCUAUAAGUUUGGGAUAACAUGCCGAAAGGUGUGCUAAUACUGGAUGUGUUUUAUACUUGCAUGAGUAUGAAGUAAAGAUGGUGCAAGCUAUCGCUUAUAGAUGAUCUCGCGUCCGAUUAGCUAGUUGGUGGGGUAAAUGCUUACCAAGGCGACGAUCGGUAGCCGGCCUGAGAGGGUGGCCGGCCACACUGGAACUGAGAGACGGUCCAGACUCCUACGGGAGGCAGCAGUGGGGAAUCUUGCGCAAUGGGCGAAAGCCUGACGCAGCGAUGCCGCGUGAACGAAGAAGGCCUUCGGGCCGUAAAGUUCUUUCGCUGGGGAAGAAAAUUUUUCGUAGUAACUGACGUUAGAUUGACGGUACCCAGAUAAGCAGCCCCGGCUAACUCCGUGCCAGCAGCCGCGGUAAUACGGAGGGGGCAAGCGUUGUUCGGAAUUACUGGGCGUAAAGCGCACGUAGGUGGUUUUGUAAGUCAGGGGUCAAAGGCUACAGCUCAACUGUGGUAAGGCCUCUGAUACUAUAGAACUGGAGUACCAGAGAGGAUGGCGGAAUUCCCGGUGUAGCGGUGAAAUGCGUAGAUAAUCGGGAGGAACACCAUUGGCGAAGGCGGCUAUCUGGCUGGUAACUGACGCUGAGGUUGCGAGAGCGUACGGUAGCAAACAGGAUUAUAUACCCUGGUAGUUCUACGCUGU